GACGAACGCUGGCGGCGUGCUUAACACAUGCAAGUCGAACGGAAAGGCCCUGCUUUUGUGGGGUGCUCGAGUGGCGAACGGGUGAGUAACACGUGAGUAACCUGCCCUGGACUUUGGGAUAACUUCAGGAAACUGGGGCUAAUACCGGAUAGGAGCUCCUGCUGCAUGGUGGGGGUUGGAAAGUUUCGGCGGUUGGGGAUGGACUCGCGGCUUAUCAGCUUGUUGGUGGGGUAGUGGCUUACCAAGGCUUUGACGGGUAGCCGGCCUGAGAGGGUGACCGGCCCCAUUGGGACUGAGAUACGGCCCAGACUCCUACGGGAGGCAGCAGUGGGGAAUAUUGCACGAUGGGCGGAAGCCUGAUGCAGCAACGCCGCGUGCGGGAUGACGGCCUUCGGGUUGUAAACCGCUUUCGCCUGUGACGAAGCGUGAGUGACGGUAAUGGGUAAAGAAGCACCGGCUAACUACGUG
rnacentral:rRNA from 1 species